rnacentral:rRNA from 1 species
AUUGAACGCUGGCGGCAUGCCUUACACAUGCAAGUCGAACGGCAGCACGGGUGCUUGCACCUGGUGGCGAGUGGCGAACGGGUGAGUAAUACAUCGGAACAUGUCCUGUAGUGGGGGAUAGCCCGGCGAAAGCCGGAUUAAUACCGCAUACGAUCUACGGAUGAAAGCGGGGGACCUUCGGGCCUCGCGCUAUAGGGUUGGCCGAUGGCUGAUUAGCUAGUUGGUGGGGUAAAGGCCUACCAAGGCGACGAUCAGUAGCUGGUCUGAGAGGACGACCAGCCAAACCGGGACUUAGACACCGGCCAGACUCCUACGGGAGGCAGCAGUGGGGAAUUUUGGACAAUGGGCGAAAGCCUGAUCCAGCAAUGCCGCGUGUGUGAAGAAGGCCUUCGGGUUGUAAAGCACUUUUGUCCGGAAAGAAAUCCUUGGCCCUAAUACGGUCGGGGGAUGACGGUACCGGAAGAAUAAGCACCGGCUAACUACGUG